rnacentral:tRNA from 3 species
GCCCCCAUAGCUCAGUGGAUAGAGCAUUGGCCUCCGAAGCCAUGUGCGGAGGUUCGAUUCCUCCUGGGGGCG